rnacentral:rRNA from 1 species
CUGAACCAGCCAAGUAGCGUGAAGGAGGACUGCCCUAUGGGUUGUAAACUUCUUUUAUAAAGGAAUAAAGUCGGGUAUGGAUACCCGUUUGCAUGUACUUUAUGAAUAAGGAUCGGCUAACUCCGUGCCAGCAGCCGCGGUAAUACGGAGGAUCCGAGCGUUAUCCGGAUUUAUUGGGUUUAAAGGGAGCGUAGAUGGAUGUUUAAGUCAGUUGUGAAAGUUUGCGG